rnacentral:rRNA from 1 species
AGUGAACGCUGGCGGUAGGCCUAACACAUGCAAGUCGAACGGCAGCACAGUAAGAGCUUGCUCUUACGGGUGGCGAGUGGCGGACGGGUGAGGCAUACAUCGGAAUCUACUUUUUCGUGGGGGAUAACGUAGGACAACAUACACUAAUACCGCACACGACCUACGGGUGAAGGCAGGGGAUCUUCGGACCUUGCGCGAUUGAAUGAACCGAUGUCGGAUUAGCUAGUUGGCGGGGUAAAGGCCCACCAAGGCGACGAACCGUAGCUGGUCUGAGAGGAUGAUCGGCAACACUGGAACUGGGACACGGUCAGGACUCCUACGGGAGGCAGCGUUGGGGAUUAUUGGACAAGGGGCGCAAGCCUGAUCCAGCCAUACCGCUUGGGUGAAGAAGGCCUUCGGGUUGUAAAGCCCUUUUGUUGGGAAAGAAAAGCAGCAGGUUAAUACCCCGCUGUUCUGACGGUACCCAAAGAAUAAGCACCGGCUAACUUCGUG